AGAACCCAUGAAAGUUUCAUUCUUGGAGAGAACAAAUGCAGAGGAAGAAGACUCUCAGCAGAUGACUCCAGUAGUUGUGUGUCUAGUGGUUCAGAGGGUGAAGAAACCAAAGGCAGGAAGGCAAGAACUCCUCCUGAAAGAAGGUUCACAUCAAAACCUGCAGCUUGAGAAGAACCUUGCAUUGUGGAGAGGCCUGGCCUCCUCCCACCCCCUUGCUUCCCUUGGUGUACCUACCAAGAAGUAGGCCUGUGGGGAAAAAACCUCGGAAGGUUACAGAGAACCACCUGGAAUGAUGACACAGAAUGAUGAGAAGGGAUGCUUGCAAGCUUUCUUUGAGGCAAGGUGUGCUUGAACUAGAUUCCAUUUAAAAUUUUUUUAAUUAAAAAAAAGCCACUGUUUAAGUUGA